rnacentral:rRNA from 1 species
GGGGGGCGGGGGGGGGGGGGCUGGGGGGUGCAGGGCGAGCGAACAGAGGGGGAGCUUGCUCCGCUGACGUUAGCGGCGGACGGGUGAGUAACACGUGGAUACCCUACCUAUAAGACUGGGAUAACUUCGGGAAACCGGAGCUAAUACCGGAUAAUAUAUUGAACCGCAUGGUUCAAUAGUGAAAGACGGUUUUGCUGUCACUUAUAGAUGGAUCCGCGCCGCAUUAGCUAGUUGGUAAGGUAACGGCUUACCAAGGCAACGAUGCGUAGCCGACCUGAGAGGGUGAUCGGCCACACUGGAACUGAGACACGGUCCAGACUCCUACGGGAGGCAGCAGUAGGGAAUCUUCCGCAAUGGGCGAAAGCCUGACGGAGCAACGCCGCGUGAGUGAUGAAGGUCUUCGGAUCGUAAAACUCUGUUAUUAGGGAAGAACAAAUGUGUAAGUAACUAUGCACGUCUUGACGGUACCUAGUCAGAAAGCCACGGCUAACUACGUG